rnacentral:rRNA from 1 species
ACUCCUACGGGAGGCAGCAGUGGGGAAUAUUGCACAAUGGGGGAAACCCUGAUGCAGCCAUGCCGCGUGUGUGAAGAAGGCCUUCGGGUUGUAAAGCACUUUCAGUAGGGAGGAAGGUAGUGUAGUUAACACCUGCAUUACUUGACGUUACCUACAGAAGAAGCACCGGCUAACUCCGUGCCAGCAGCCGCGGUAAUACGGAGGGUGCGAGCGUUAAUCGGAAUUACUGGGCGUAAAGCGCAUGCAGGCGGCCUGUUAAGUCAGAUGUGAAAGCCCGGGGUCUUAACCGUCGGAAUUGCAUUUGAAACUGGCAGGCUAGAGUCUUGUAGAGGGGUUAGAAUUUCAGGUGUAGCGGUGAAAUGCGUAGAGAUCUGAAGGAAUACCAGUGGCGAAGGCGGCCCCUGGACAAAGACUGACGCUCAGAUGCGAAAGCGUGGGAGCAAACAGGAUUAGAUACCCCUGGUA